GUAAAUAAUCGAACUGCGCAUAAAUCAUUCUCUACACUAAUUGUAAACUGAUCAUUUAAAUGACAAAUUCUUAUUUUGUAUAUAUUUGCGUGGCUGUUAUUCUUCGUUACGUCAAGUAGUGCCGUCUGUGUCUUUAGUUAGGAGGAAAGUGCUAGAGAAAGGAGACCAUGAAACUACGAUAGAAAACAAGGAAGUGAAACUACGCGUUAAUUCUUCGGCGAGCUCUACGCAAGCAGAGCCGCCUCAGACGGAAGGAGAGACCAGUAAGUUAUCAGGAACAGCCCUAUAUGGAAAAGACAGACCAAGAUGGAAGUUGCCUGAUCCUUUUACUGAAAGUAUUCAUCCUGCUGUGUGGAAAUUUCUGCAAAAGAAAAAUGAAAUUAGAACCAUCAGCAAAGAAAUGAGUAAAUACUUCUGUGAAGUGCACCUGGAUACUUCUGAUGUCAAACUCACUCCUUUGCCUACUUUGCU